CUCGGAUGCGUCUCGCCGCGAGCAGAACAUCGUGGAUACUUUUCAUCAGGUCACGUCACGCCGACCAGUCCUUUGACAAACAAACACCGGAACCAGAGGCGAUUGAGGCACUUGUGCUGGACUGAGGAAUAAAGAAAGAACCCAGAUCGCUGCUAAUCUUCGCGGCCAACAGAAUGCAGGCGGCUGACACCAACUUCCUGUUGAGCAAAGCAAACGUCAGAAGAGGCAAAGUUGGAGUUGUAAUGACAAGGGUGAAGCGGUAGAGGGCGCUAGUGAGUCGCCAUGCCGAGCUGAGUCUUUGGGAGGACAAUCUGUCAUUUUUGGGAGCGCGGU